GCUCAAAUUUGAAAUCUGGCUUCGGCCCGAGUUGUAAUUUGUAGAGGAUGCUUUUGGUGAGGUGCCUUCUGAGUUCCCUGGAACGGGACGCCACAGAGGGUGAGAGCCCCGUAUAGUUGGACACCGAGCCUCUGUAAAGCUCCUUCGACGAGUCGAGUAGUUUGGGAAUGCUGCUCAAAAUGGGAGGUAUAUCUCUUCUAAAGCUAAAUACUGGCCAGAGACCGAUAGCGCACAAGUAGAGUGAUCGAAAGAUGAAAAGCACUUUGAAAAGAGGGUUAAAUAGUACGUGAAAUUGUUGAAAGGGAAGCGCUUGUGACCAGACUUGUGCCGGGCUGAUCAUCCAGUGUUCUCACUGGUGCACUCUGCCCGGCUCAGGCCAGCGUCGGUUCUCGCAGGGGGAUAAAAGCGGCGGGAACGUGGCUCCUCCGGGAGUGUAUAGCCCGCCGCUCAAUACC
rnacentral:rRNA from 1 species